GAUGAACGCUAGCGGCAGGCUUAACACAUGCAAGUCGAGGGGCAGCGGGGAGUGUAGCAAUACAUUUGCCGGCGACCGGCGCACGGGUGCGUAACGCGUAUGCAACCUACCUCAAACAGGGGCAUAACACUGAGAAAUUGGUACUAAUUCCCCAUAACAUCUUGGAGGGCAUCCUCCGAGGUUGAAAACUCCGGUGGUUUGAGAUGGGCAUGCGUUGUAUUAGCUAGUUGGUGAGGUAACGGCUCACCAAGGCGACGAUACAUAGGGGGACUGAGAGGUUAACCCCCCCACAUUGGUACUGAGACACGGACCAA
rnacentral:rRNA from 1 species